rnacentral:tRNA from 1 species
GGCUCAAUGGCGUAGUUGGUUAUCGCACCUGUCUAACACACAGUAGGUCUCCUGUUCGAACCAGGAUUGAGUCA